rnacentral:rRNA from 1 species
UACGGAGGGUGCAAGCGUUACUCGGAAUUACUGGGCGUAAAGCGCAUGUCGGCGGUUUAGUAAGUCUGGUGUGAAAGCCCACGACUCAAUCGUGGAAGUGCAUUGGAUACUGCUAGACUAGAGUGCAGGAGGGGUGAGCGGAAUUCCAGGUGUAGAGGUGAAAUUCGUAGAUAUCUGGAGGAACAACGGCGGCGAAGGCGGCUCACUGGACUGUUAAUGACGCUUAAGUGCGAAAGCGUGGGGAGCAAACAGG